rnacentral:hammerhead_ribozyme from 1 species
GUACUACUGAAGAGUCCCAAAAUAGGACGAAACAGUCGUCCAGUAC